rnacentral:rRNA from 1 species
AACGAACGCUGGCGGCAGGCUUAACACAUGCAAGUCGAGCGCAUGUCUUCGGACAUGAGCGGCAGACGGGUGAGUAACGCGUGGGAACGUACCCUUCAGUUCGGGAUAACCCAGGGAAACUUGGGCUAAUACCGGAUACGUCCGUAAGGAGAAAGGUUUACUGCUGAAGGAUCGGCCCGCGUCGGAUUAGCUAGUUGGUGGGGUAAAGGCCCACCAAGGCGACGAUCCGUAGCUGGUCUGAGAGGAUGAUCAGCCACACUGGGACUGAGACACGGCCCAGACUCCUACGGGAGGCAGCAGUGGGGAAUAUUGGACAAUGGGCGCAAGCCUGAUCCAGCCAUGCCGCGUGAGUGAAGAAGGCCUUAGGGUUGUAAAGCUCUUUCAGCGGGACGAUAAUGACGGUACCCGCAGAAGAAG